rnacentral:rRNA from 1 species
CCUACGGGUGGCAGCAGUGGGGAAUAUUGGGCAAUGGGCGUAAGCCUGACCCAGCAACGCCGCGUGAAGGAAGAAGGCUUUCGGGGUGUAAACUUCUUUUAAUAGGGAAGAACAGAAGACGGUACAUCUUGAAUAAGCCACGGCUAACUACGUGCCAGCAGCCGCGGUAAUACGGAGGUGGCAAGCGUUAUCCGGAUUUACUGGGUGUAAAGGGCGUGUAGCCGGGCUGACAAGUCAGAUGUGAAAGUCCGGGGCUCAACCCCAGAACUGCAUUUGAAACUGUUAGUCUUGAGUAUAGGAGAGGUAGGCGGAAUUCCUAGUGUAGCGGUGAAAUGCGUAGAUAUUAGGAGGAACACCAGUGGCGAAGGCGGCCUGCUGGACGAUAACUGACGGUGAGGCGCGAAAGCGUGGGGAGCAAACAGGAUUAGAUACCCUUGUAGUC